rnacentral:piRNA from 1 species
UACGCAAAGAUUUCCUGAACGGAAAAGUGGC